rnacentral:snRNA from 1 species
GUGCUCGCUUCGGCAGCACGUACACUAAAAUUGGAACGAUACAGAGAAGAUUAGCAUGGCCCCUGCACAAGGAUGACACACAAAUUCGUGAAGCGUUCCAUAUUUUA